rnacentral:rRNA from 1 species
ACUCCUACGGGAGGCAGCAGUGGGAAUAUUGGACAAUGGGGGCAACCCUGAUCUAGCCAUGCCGCGUGAGUGACGAAGGCCUUAGGGUCGUAAAGCUCUUUCGCUGGAGAAGAUAAUGACGGUAUCCAGUAAAGAAACCCCGGCUAACUCCGUGCCAGCAGCCGCGGUAAUACGGAGGAUCCAAGCGUUAUCCGGAAUCAUUGGGUUUAAAGGGUCCGCAGGCGGUCAAUUAAGUCAGAGGUGAAAUCCAGUCGCUUAACGAUUGAACUGCCUUUGAUACUGGUUGACUUGAGUCAUAUGGAAGUAGAUAGAAUGUGUAGUGUAGCGGUGAAAUGCUUAGAUAUUACACAGAAUACCGAUUGCGAAGGCAGUCUACUACGUAUGUACUGACGCUCAUGGACGAAAGCGUGGGGAGCGAACAGGAUUAGAUACCCUGUAGGUCAGUCAAGUCGU